rnacentral:rRNA from 1 species
AAUCAACGCUGGCGGCGUGCCUCAGACAUGCAAGUCGAACGAUUAAAGCUCUCUUCGGAGAGUGCAUAGAGUGGCGCACGGGUGAGUAACACGUAAGUAAUCUACCCUCGAGUGGGGAAUAACGUCCGGAAACGGGCGCUAAUACCGCAUAAUGCAGCGGCAUCAUAAGAUGACAGUUGUUAAAGAUUUAUCGCUCGAGGAGGAGCUUGCGGCAGAUUAGCUAGUUGGUAAGGUAACGGCUUACCAAGGCUACGAUCUGUAACCGGUCUUAGAGGACGGUCGGUCACACUGACACUGAAUAACGGGUCAGACUCCUACGGGAGGCAGCAGUCGGGAAUUUUGGGCAAUGGGCGAAAGCCUGACCCAGCAACGCCGCGUGAAGGAUGAAGUAUUUCGGUAUGUAAACUUCGAAAGAAUAGGAAGAAUUAAUGACGGUACUAUUUAUAAGGUCCGGCUAACUACGUGCCAGCCGCCGCGGUAACAC